rnacentral:rRNA from 1 species
AUAGAUACCCUGGUAGUCCAUGCCGUAAACGUUGGGCACUAGGUGUGGGGCUCAUUCCACGAGUUCCGUGCCGCAGCAAACGCAUUAAGUGCCCCGCCUGGGGAGUACGGCCGCAAGGCUAAAACUCAAAGGAAUUGACGGGGGCCCGCACAAGCGGCGGAGCAUGCGGAUUAAUUCGAUGCAACGCGAAGAACCUUACCAAGGCUUGACAUGCACGGGAAGCCACCAGAGAUGGUGGUCUCUUUGGACACUCGUGCACAGGUGGUGCAUGGUUGUCGUCAGCUCGUGUCGUGAGAUGUUGGGUUAAGUCCCGCAACGAGCGCAACCCUCGUCCCAUGUUGCCAGCGGGUUAUGCCGGGGACUCAUGGGAGACUGCCGGGGUCAACUCGGAGGAAGGUGGGGAUGACGUCAAAUCAUCAUGCCCCUUAUGUCUUGGGCUUCACGCAUGCUACAAUGGCCGGUACAAAGGGCUGCGAUGCCGUAAGGUGGAGCGAAUCCCAAAAAGCCGGUCUCAGUUCGGAUUGGGGUCG